UACGGGAGGCAGCAGUGGGGAAUAUUGCACAAUGGGCGCAAGCCUGAUGCAGCCAUGCCGCGUGUAUGAAGAAGGCCUUCGGGUUGUAAAGUACUUUCAGUCGUGAGGAAGGUGUUAAGGUUAAUAACCUUAGCAAUUGACGUUAGCGACAGAAGAAGCACCGGCUAACUCCGUGCCAGCAGCCGCGGUAAUACGGAGGGUGCGAGCGUUAAUCGGAAUUACUGGGCGUAAAGGGCACGCAGGCGGUUAAUUAAGUUGGAUGUGAAAUCCCCGGGCUUAACCUGGGAAUGGCAUUCAAGACUGGUUAGCUAGAGUCUUGUAGAGAGGGGUAGAAUUCCAUGUGUAGCGGUGAAAUGCGUAGAGAUGUGGAGGAAUACCGGUGGCGAAGGCGGCCCCUGGGACAAAGACUGACGCUCAUGUGCGAAAGCGUGGGGAGCAAACAGGAUUAGAUACC
rnacentral:rRNA from 1 species